UAAAAAGUACAUGCUUGAGUCUGGGAGUUUAAAGAGAGCCAACAAAGACCUUCGAGCUUAUAGGACGUGGAUAGAGGGCUAAAAACUGCAAAAAGGACGAGCCAUAAUAGGCAAGAAAUACUAUCUAU